CCGUAUCAAGAAAGAAAGAGAAAAGAAAAAGAACCAAAGAAAAAGAAAAGUCACCAUCGCACGGUUAAGUCUGCCUUGCUACAGCUAAACAGUGACUUCCUAGGACCAAGAAAUCGCAGCCAGGGCUAGACCGAUGCCCUAAAUCGGGACUUGCUUAGGCUGAGAAAUCACAUUUUGGCUAGUUAUUUGGACAAGAGGUAGAAAUAGCGGGCACCGCGAAAUCGAAACUUGCUAGGACCAAGAAGCCAACGACGGGCGAAACCGCAGGGGCCUGCGAUAGAGACGCCAGCGGCGCCGCCGGGGGACUGGGUUCAGGAGGCCGAGCAGGAACCCGUGCGUCGGCGCUCGCGGCGCUGUGAAGAGACGGCGUCCGCGCAGCUCCUCUGCCUCUGGCUCGGAGGAGCGGCGGGCUCCCCCGCCCAGCGCCGGCGUCGCCCGGGAACCCCAGACUCUGCGCAACUGGCUGCGAUUCCAAAUCCCUCAGAUCGGCUACCAGAGCGCUGCCGCCACCGAGAAAAUGGAGGCACCGAGGAACAAGAUGUGCCGCGACCAAGAGAACUCGGCUUGGCGAAAUGGCGGUGCUGGGACCCUAAGAGUGACGCCAGCCGGAGGAGUUCCCAAGGACAACAUCCAUUUUGGCGGAACCAACGGUGUUGUCACGCAGAAAAUGUCGACCCUCGGAAAAGAGAGGUUCUGCGACCGAGAAAUUCGGUGCAACAAGUGCUGUGACAGAAAACCCCCCGCUCGGCGCUGCUGGCGAAAGAGCCAACAAAACGCUGGGUGCUGCCACCGUGACACCGACUUUAGGACCCCGGCCUCGGAUGGAGAAAGGAGGGUACGGAGCCACCACAUAACUUCCUAAUGUCUUCAAAUAGCGAAAGUGCUAGCCGGAAACUGCCGGCUGGGUUUACCUAUUGGUGCUCGUGUGGGACUAGCAGAUUCGAGAAACCAGCGGGACUGGAACCUAGUACACUUCGGCAGUUGAGAAAUGACUUACCAGGACAAAUACUGCUUCUGGCUCGAUGGUGCUGCCCAUGAACAUCCGCCGGCUCUGAGAAACGAGCUGCACUGUCAGUGAGAAACCGUGGGCACUGAGAAACGAGCGGACUGCAACUGAUAACUGCCCACCCAGUGCCACUACGACAAAGUGCUGCUGGCACUACUCCCACCCUCCGUCCUCAAAUCAGUCCCCUCCCGCCUAAGAAGACCUUUAUUUUUCCUAGCGAAGUCAUACUGAGGGCCCCAUCAACCGAUCCCUUGCGAUGCGCAUGGGAAAAGGAGGCAGUAUAGGGACCGAGAAUCGGGCGGAUUGGGCUGGCCCUGGUAACAAAAGCCAUCCGGGUCGCCAACCGUCUUCCACUGCAAGAAACAAACCUUCCAGUGGCUGGGCUCCGCCCUUCUCCUUGGUCAGAGCCCUCCAGGCUCCUAAGGGCGAAGCCGACACCUCAUCCCUUUGGAACUUGAAGUUCUCAGUCCAAGACCUCCGUGGAGAGUGAAAGACUCAAUGCCUCCUGACCGAGGCUUCAGGCCUGCCCCGGCAGCUAGGUACCUCUCCAGGGGAUGGAACUCUGUGGGAACUGCUAUUUAAUUCUGAUGGUUAACUCUGUCAGAUGGCCUUGAUAUAUGGGAAUAAUCGUUGCAGGAGGGUAGGGGAAAUAAGAAUCGCAAGACUCUAGCACAGGACGUGUGGAUUGAUGGAAACCUGAAACUGCCAUUGAGCAGAAGGAAAACAUCCCUUUCCAGAACCUUUCUCGUUUUUCUAAAAAUCUGCACUUUUGGAAGUGAUCCCCCAAAGAGACCUCCAGACUCUACCAUGAGUGUCUCCAGCUGAACUCAUCGUGUCUAAUCCUCACCCUAGCUUAUCCUGUUCAAAUCAUUUCCAUCUUUUUCUGGAUGAACCUGGGCGGAUGUCAGACCAGAGAAGAGCACAGAAUGUACCAGAGAGAUGCGGUGAUGGGAGCCAUAUACACAAAGAUGAAGGACUGGCUACAGCUUUCACAGACCUUACAACCUACUGAGAGAGCAAAGACACAGUGAAGAGAUCAUUCAGAAUACAGUCCAACUCCAAGAUCAUUGGGAGAGCUUAUUUGAAGACCAGAAAGGUUACUGAACAUGGUGACUCUCUUCAAAGCCAGACCUUUGUCCUUGAAUUUAGGGCUUCAAAAAACAAUAGUAGGGCCGGGCGCAGUGGCUCAUGCCUGUAAUCCCAACACUUUGGGAGGCCAAGGUGGGCAGAUCACCUGAGGUCAGGAGUUCGAGACCGGCCUGGCCAAUAUGGUGAAACCCUGUCUCUACCAAAAAUACAAAAAAAAAAAAAAAUUACCUGGGCUUGGUGGGGGGUGCCUGUAAUCCCAGGUACUCAGGAGGCUGAGACAGGAGAAUUGCUUGAACCCGAGAGGCAGAGGCGGCAGUGAGCCGAGAACGCGCCAUUGCACUCUAGCCCGGGCGACAAGAGUGAAACUCCAUCUCAAAAACAAAAACAAAAAGAAAAACAAACAAACAAACAAACAAAAAAACAGUAGAAAACCUAAUGAGAAACCAUGGCACAGGAAAACAGAAUAGCAGAACGGUCAGAGGAAGCAUAGCACUAGAAGUUUACCUAUUUGAAAGAUUUAUGAGACACUUAAGACAGAAGAGCUCUGCCUGUCUGGUUAAAAUGGUGGGACAGACAAGAUUUAUUUGAGCUCAGCAGCACUUGAAGUCCACUGGAGAGGUGUAGAGCAGCUAGCCCAUGUUAUGGUUGCAAUGGAAAAAAGUCAAUAGGGUGAGAAUCAAGAAUGGAUCCAUCUUGUGGAUGAUGACAUCAUUCAGCAACAAGGUACAAUUGCUACAAUAGAGGAUCAUAUUUCCAAGCCAGGUCCAAAGAGGCAUCAGGGCUGUCAAGCUUAGGUAUAAAUGUUGACAGAAUCUUCCUUUGGAUUACCUAAGGCUCUGAAUUUCUGGGAAGAUCUUGAUGCCCUCUAACCCCAGCAAAUUGAUGCUAGCUAUACAUUGAAUCUGACAGUGGCAGCUCAAACAGAUUUUAAACACAUCUUGUAUGUAUCCAUUCAUACACAUUUACAUAUUAAAAACAUGUCUUCAAGUUUGAGCUUUCUUGGUGUAUCUCAGGUACCUUUUGACAUGGUUCUCUUUUUAUUGUAUGUACUAAUAGAGUGAGAACCUACUUAUUACUUGGGGGCUGCACCAAGCCAUUCAUGAUAGCUCGACCCCCAUGACCCAAACACCUCCCUUUAGG
rnacentral:lncRNA from 1 species